rnacentral:rRNA from 1 species
UACGGAGGGUGCGAGCGUUGUCCGGAAUCACUGGGCGUAAAGGGCGCGUAGGCGGCGCGGAUAGUCGGCGGUGAAAGCCCGGAGCUCAACUCCGGGUCGGCCGUCGAUACUUCCGGGCUUGAGCACUGUAGAGGCAGAUGGAAUUCCGGGUGGUAGCGGUGGAAUGCGUAGAGAUCCGGAAGAACACCGGUGGCGAAGGCGGUCUGCUGGGCAGUUGCUGACGCUGAUGGCGCGAAAGCGUGGGGAGCAAACAGG